rnacentral:rRNA from 1 species
CCUACGGGGAUCUGCAGUAGGGAAUAUUGGUCACUGGCCGAGAGGCUGAACCAGCCAAGUCGCGUGAGGGAAUAAUGUCCUAUGGAUUUUAAACCUCUAUUUUCAGGGGGCAAAGUCACCCACGGGUGGGUGUUGGAGGUUCCCUGAAGAAAAAGCAUCGGCUAACUCCGUGCCAGCAGCCGCGGUAAUACGGAGGAUGCGAGCGUUAUCCGGAUUUAUUGGGUUUAAAGGGGGCGUAGGCGGGUUAUCAAGUCAGCGGUAAAAUCGUGGAGCUCAACUCCAUCCAGCCGUUGAAACUGAUGAUCUUGAGUGGGCGAGAAGUAUGCGGAAUGCGUGGUGUAGCGGUGAAAUGCAUAGAUAUCACGCAGAACUCCGAUUGCGAAGGCAGCAUACCGGCGCCCGACUGACGCUGAAGCACGAAAGCGUGGGUAUCGAACAGGAUUAGAUACCCGAGUAGUC